ACUUUUUUAUUUUAUUUAAAAUAUAAUUCUGAAGAGAUUAAGAAUAUGAAAGUA
rnacentral:tRNA from 2 species